AUGCCGGUCUCCACUUCCUCUGCGAUCCAGGUAGCUAGUGUGCGCACGCAUGUACCCGUGACGCUCGACCUGCAGGCAUCCAACUUCACCAAGUGGCGGAUGCUCGUUUGCGUUCUUCUCGGCAAGUACGACUUGCUUCCUCACGUCAACGCCGUCAACGCCGCGGCGGACCGCACGCCGGACUGGACUCGCGAGGACUACGUCGUCCGGUCAUGA
rnacentral:rRNA from 1 species